AGUGAACGCUGGCGGUAGGCCUAACGCAUGCAAGUCGAACGGCAGCACAGGAGAGCUUGCUCUCUGGGUGGCGAGUGGCGGACGGGUGAGGAAUACAUCGGAAUCUACUUUUUCGUGGGGGAUAACGUAGGGAAACUUACGCUAAUACCGCAUACGACCUACGGGUGAAAGCAGGGGAUCUUCGGACCUUGCGCGAUUGAAUGAGCCGAUGUCGGAUUAGCUAGUUGGCGGGGUAAAGGCCCACCAAGGCGACGAUCCGUAGCUGGUCUGAGUGGAUGAUCAGCCACACUGGAACUGAGACACGGUCCAGACUCCUACGGGAGGCAGCAGUGGGGAAUAUUGGACAAUGGGCGCAAGCCUGAUCCAGCCAUACCGCGUGGGUGAAGAAGGCCUUCGGGUUGUAAAGCCCUUUUGUUGGGAAAGAAAUCCAGCUGGUUAAUACCCGGUAGGGAUGACGGUACCCAAAGAAUAAGCACCGGCUAACUUCGUGCCAGCCGCCGCCGUAA
rnacentral:rRNA from 1 species